UCUGGUCUCCAUUUGUGAGUAGACGGAUGUCCUCUGCCUACUCCAAAUCUCCCAAUACCGGAGCCAGUGCAGAAUCAAGAGAGGAAAUUAAUCCCUUCCCUUUGCAGGGGUACCAAACACACCAAAGGCAAGUACACUUUACUGUUAUACGGGAAAUUCUCUAAAAGCAGAGGAAGACUGAUAAUCUACACAAGCAGAUGGGCCACACAGACAUUUCGAGCGAGGUGGGUCAUCAUAAUGCCAGCAAUGCUGUCCUCACACAGUCCAGGCAUCAUCAUAUGAUCUUGGCACAGCGGGGCCCAGGCCCUGAAACUAGAAGCCAGUGGAGUCCUGUGGGUUUGGCCUCAACGGAUCACAGGAAGUGAUGCCUGAGUUGCUCCAGGAGUACAUGUUAGAAAAGAGGAAAACAGCUCCAGAGUCGCGUGCAAGGGACCACCUACCAUCGAUCUGGGCUUGCUGAUGGCCACGAGACUAGUGAGGAAGUCUUCGUCGUGCAGCUGGCUGAAAACAUGGGCGUCAUAGGCUACCGUAAUGGAGAUCUCUUCCAUCAUCUUGCCAGCUGGCCUUUCCACAGCGGCAGCUGCUACCCCAGCUCCAGACCAGACUAUCCAGGGAAAAAUCCUACUGCAGCUCAGUGCCAAUACCCACACCCACCUGAGUCUGAAGGGGUGGAGUAUCAAAAAUCCACGAGGAAAAAAAGAAAUA